AGCAGCCGCGGUGAUUCCAGCUCCAAUAGCGUAUAUUAAAGUUGUUGCAGUUAAAAAGCUCGUAGUUGAAUUUUGGGUCUGGCCGGGCGGUCCGCCCUCUGGGUGAGCACUGUUCCGACGCCGGGCCUAUCCUUCUGGUGAGUCGGCAUGUCCUUUAUUGGGUGUGCCGGGGAACCAGGACCAUUACCUUGAAAAAAUUAGAGCGUUCAAAGCAGGCGUAUGCUCGGAUACAUUAGCAUGGAAUAAUGAAAUAGGACGCGUGGUGCUAUUUUGUUGGUUUCUAGAACCGCCGUAAUGAUUAAUAGGGAUAGUUGGGGGCAUUAGUAUUCAAUUGUCAGAGGUGAAAUUCUUGGAUUAUUGAAGACUAACUUCUGCGAAAGCAUUUGCCAAGGAUGUUUUCAUUAAUCAAGAACGAAAUGUUAGGGGACAUCGAAGGACGAUCAGAUACCGUC
rnacentral:rRNA from 1 species